UACGAAGGGGGCAAGCGUUGUUCGGAAUUACUGGGCGUAAAGGGCGCGUAGGCGGCUUAUCAAGUCAGGCGUGAAAUUCCCGGGCUCAACCUGUGGGCUGCGCUUGAUACUGAUGAGCUUGAAUGCGGGAGAGGAUAGUGGAAUUCCCAGUGUAGAGGUGAAAUUCGUAGAUAUUGGGAAGAACACCGGUGGCGAAGGCGGCUAUCUGGCCCGUAAUUGACGCUGAGGCGCGAAAGCGUGGGGAGCAAACAGG
rnacentral:rRNA from 1 species